rnacentral:rRNA from 1 species
AAACUAGGAUUAGAUACCCUAUUAUUUUGGAUGUUAAUUAAAUUAAACUUAAGUAGUAUUAGAUAUGAUCUUGAAACUUAAAGAAUUUGGCGGUAUUUUAGUCUAUUUAGAGGAAUCUGUCCCAUAAUCGAUAUUCCACGUUGGACCUUACUUAAUUUAUUAUAAUAUGUAUACCGCCGUUGUUGAAAAUCUUUUUAGGGUAUAAUUUUUUUAAUAUUUAUUAUAUAAUUUUUCAGGUCAAGGUGCAGUUUAUAAUUAAGUGGUGGUGGAUUACAAUGUUCAUAAACAUACGAAUUAUUAAUUUUAAUUAUUAAUAUGAAGGUGGAUUUAAUAGUAAUUUUAUAAAGAUUAUUAUUUUGAUUUUAGCUCUAAAAUAUGUACACAUCGCCCGUCGCUCUCGUUAUGAAUAUUAAAGCGAGAUAAGUCGUAACAUAGUAGUUGUACCGGAAGGUGUAACUG